AAAMUGGGGGGUAAAUUUCAUCUAAAGCUAAAUAUUGGCCAGAGACCGAUAGCGCACAAGUAGAGUGAUCGAAAGAUGANCCCCACUUUGAAAAGAGAGUUAAACAGCAUGUGAAAUUGUUGAAAGGGAAGCGCUUGCAACCAGACUUGUGGGCGGCAGUUCAGCCGUUAUUCUUAACGGUGCACUCUGCCGUUUCCGGGCCAGCAUCGGUUCAGGUAACCGGUUAAAGGCCUGGGGAACGUAUCUGCCUCUCGGGGCAGACUUAUAGCCCCAGGUGGCAUCCGGCUCAUCUGGACCGAGGCACGCGCUUCGGCACGGAUGCUGGUGUAAUGGUUGUAAGCGGCCCGUCUUGAAACACGGACCAAGGAGUCUAACAUCUAUGCGAGUGUUUGGGCGUUAAAACCCCAGCGCGGAAUGAAAGUGAACGGAGGUAGGAGCCCUCUGGGCGCACUAUCGACCGAUCCUGAUGUCUUCGGAUGGAUUUGAGUAAGAGCAUAGCUGUUGGGACCCGAAAGAUGGUGAACUAUGCCUGAAUAGGGUGAAGCCAGAGGAAACUCUGGUGGAGGCUCGCAGCGGUUCUGACGUGCAAAUCGAUCGUCAAAUUUAGUCAUAGGGGCGAAAGGUAAGCGUUCUUUUUAAUCUGAAAUAUAUUCUGUAGACUCUGGGGGGGUUUUUUCUCUGUAGACUAAUCGAACCAUCUGGUAGCUGGUUCCUGCCGAAGUUUCCCUCAGGAUAGCAGU
rnacentral:rRNA from 1 species